AGAUACGGUUAGCAUCAAGCAAGAAAAAAUUUUCAUACUACAAGAAAAAUAUGAACAUCCUGAGUCAACUUUAUGGCAAGAUUCUUGCACUGAAUAUGAAAGAGACAUACUCUUUCUUGAGAGGCAUCGGUGGGAGAACAAAAGCGGAAUAGUGUGGCCUAAGAAGACAUCGAAUUGUGGUACGAAAUUGGCUGCAGAUCUGAGAAACAGCUAACAUGUUCGCUGCCACUGCAAACUUCUUAGCUAUGGUAGCUAAUUUUCAAAGAUUUCACAGCAAACAUCUGUUUACUGCUGCUGCUAAUUUCUUUUUUUCCGUGUAGAUAGGAAUGUGGAAAACUAAGUAGGUGACUUUAGGCAAGCGAAAAUUAUUUCCAAUAUUUUUUGAAGUGAUAUAAAGACGACAAGAGGAGGAAAUAGAAGACGCAAUAAGGGGAUAUUCAAGAAUUCUCUGAACAGCAAAACAAUUUCAAAAAGAG